GCUACCCCAUUCUUUCGUUGCUUGCUCGCCGGUGACGCCGUGACGCCGCGCCGCCUCGAUCCCUUCCUCCCUCCCCACGCCCCACGUCGCCUUGCCCCUCCCUCCCCACCUCCGCCCACGCCGGUGCCACCUUCUUCCCCCAUGCCUCGUUUGAAGCUUCGAAUUUUGCCCGAAGGUUGGAUUUUUGCGCGGCGGCCUAGCGAGGCGUCCAACCCCGAGGACCACUGGCCAUGGCGGCCGCCGUCCAUGUCUACCUCCUCCGUCAGCCUCCUCCUCGAGUGCCCCCUCUCCGUCUGCCGCCUCGUCAACCCGGCCUCUUCUCCUGCCAUGGCGCUCCCCCCUCCCGCCUUCCAGUCUCCGCUCCUCCCUCCCCGUCGGCACCUGCCAACUACCCGGCGACCCCUACUGGCCCCCUCGUCCGACCACCUGCUCGCCGUCAACCAUGAAGCCCGCCCCCUCCGUGGACGUCAUCGACCCAAGCACUGGGAAGCACGGGUGGUCAAGGUGAAGGAGCUCACCGUCGAGCUCGCCGGAGCACUACGCGCUCAAGGCGUCCACAACACCUCCACGUGCUCAAGUUCAGAGCUCACCGGAGCUUCAGAUCCAGAUGAAGGCUCAAUGCUGCAUUGCUGACUGGCACAUCAGGGGCAAGCAGCAGACCAGAAAAUUACAAAUGAUUUCUUCGCGGAGCGGAAGAUUGGUGGAGGUCCAUUCGGAAACGUUUAUAAGAUGAUGGCAGAGUGAUUGCGGUGAAGAAACUUCAGGAAAAUGCACCGAUGCCGCCUGACAAGACAUUCAACAAUGAGAGGCGAAGUACCAGAGGCGUCGCGUGUCGGGGUCGGGGGCGGGGAAAAAAGAAGGUUCAUUCUAGUUUCUAUAACAGGUUAUGCUAGUGAAUUCAAAUUAUGCUUUGUUUGAUUCAGAUUAUGCUAGUGAAUUCAGUUACUUCACCUUACCUUCACUUCACCAAACAGCGAGAGGAGGGUGCCCAAUGGCCCUGAUCCUAUCCACAACAGACACAGGACACUGAAUGGAGUAUGAUUGACAGACACAGAACACUGUAAAUUUCAGAUAACAUUAGCAGUAGAUCAGCACUGCAAUUGACAAUUUUAAUACUCCAAUUAACACUGCAAUUGACACUGAUGGAGUACUUCAUUGACAAACUGAAAUUGAUACUGCAAUCGGCACUGAAUUGAUAGUGCAAUUGGCACUGCACCUGCAGCCAACAGCAGCAGCAGAGGUAAUCAGCAGUCGAGGUGGUCAAGGGCAGAGGCAAUCAGCAGAAGCAAUCAGCAGAGGUAAUCAGCAGUCGAGGGCAGGCGGCAGUGGCAUCAGCAGGUCUAUGUGGUUGUCUCGCCGCCGGGGAAGAUCCGCCUUGCCCGCCUGCCGAAUUAUUCAAGAGGCACAAGAGGGGAGCUGCGACCGGGGUUGGCAGCGGCGGCUGGGGUUGCCGCGGGGGGUGAGGAACCGGCGAGUAGGGCACAAGCAGGGCCAGGGACGCGAGCAGGGCUGCGAGGAGGAGGCGCCCGUCGAGGUGGUCGCCUUCGAGGAGCAGCCUCAGCUGGGCGGCAGGGCAGCUCGCCUCCGUGCAGGCGGCCCACGUUCGCAGCGGCGGAGCAACCGCAGGUGGGCGACGGCGCAGGUGGUCGCCCGCUCUUUCUACGGCGGCUGCCGGCGGUGGCUACGACGGCCGCUUGGUCGAAGGAGGAAGAAGCAUAGGUGAGGGGGGAUUAGCACUAGAUUUAAAACCGGAAGGAGUUUUCUGUAAAAUUUGAAAUGAACUAAGCUCUAGACAACUUUUUUCGGACGGAGUGAGUACAUCAGUAUGUAUCUCUCAUCCAUCCCACAUAGAUAGGAAUUUGUGGUGAUUCUAUCCAUUACUUAUUCCUUAUUAUUACAUUACUGGUCCGUCUUCGUAUCA